UACAGAGGUCUCAAGCGUUGUUCGGAUUCAUUGGGCGUAAAGGGUGCGUAGGUGGCGCUGUAAGUCGGGUGUGAAAUUUCGGAGCUUAACUCCGAAACUGCAUUCGAUACUGCGGUGCUUGAGGACUGGAGAGGAGACUGGAAUUCAUGGUGUAGCAGUGAAAUGCGUAGAGAUCAUGAGGAAGGCCAGUGGCGAAGGCGGGUCUCUGGACAGUUCCUGACACUGAGGCACGAAGGCCAGGGGAGCAAACGGG
rnacentral:rRNA from 1 species